rnacentral:rRNA from 1 species
GUCUACAGCCAUACCACCCUGAAUGAGCCCGAUCUCAUCUGGUCUCGGAAGCUAAGCAGGGUCAAUCCUGGCUACUACUUGGAUGAGAGGCUGCCUGGGAAUACUGGGUGCUGCAAGCU